CUUCCCUAAGUGACACAUUAUCCUUUGAUAGCAACCCACGGGACAAUUUUUAAUGUUUUGGAUUAUUAAAUAAGUAAUGUCAGCAGGCUGACACUAUUCAAGUUAUGACUGCGAUACUCAAUAUUUUUAUAUUCCCAAUCUUGAUGAUGGUGAUAGCUGUAGUACUCCUCUGCUUCUACCUGCACAUCAGAAAGAAAAGAGCAGUGAGUGACGUCACCAUACCAACAACCCAAGAUGGCAACACAUCUUCAGUACAUACAAUUUCUUUGCCUGAAGAUCAGGCAGGAGAAGACAGACAUUACGACAGAUUCCCUCCACGGUACAGCACUGUGGAUCUUCCACCACCAUAUUCACUGUUUGACCCCAAGCUGACACACGCAUGGCCGGGGGGCCCGCCACCUGCCUACGAGAUGUAUCCAAUAACAUUGCCUCUGGCACCUCAUCACUGGAUGACGCCCUCAGAACCUCCAACCCCACCUUCCUCACUCAGCACCCAUAACAACCCAUGGCCACAGAGGUUACGCCAACCACCCGCCAUCUAAAACGCUGAAGACUCACCUUGUGUUGUUUUUGUGUCAUUUGAAAAAUAGUAUUGUCAUUUAUUUUAUUC